GUAUGCAGAAGAACAUGAAUAUUUGUGAAUCGCUCGACAAAUUGGUUCUCUGUUGCUCAUCUCUCAUAGUUGAAGAAAAUAAAUCCAAAGGUGAGGAGACUGGCGAGCACACUCUAGCAAUGGUUAAGGUAGAGAAAGGACUAGAAUCACCACUUCACAAUGAGAAAUAGUUGUCUAUCCAGCUAAAGCUAGAACUAGCAUAUGACACAAACCUGUACAAGGCUUCUCACCUGGUCAACAAUACGAAGGAAGAGAUACCGUUUUAUUCCAUGCCGGAUUACCAUUCUUGGAAGGAAAGUUUGGAUGGUGUGUGCCUAUGAAAGCAUGCAAGCUGGUUGUACCAGAUUAAACAUUUAGGAAUCACACAACUAACAACUCUAACCAGUCCAAUGAGUCUACUCUUGCUACUGCAUCACACAUUGAAUUGGAGCUGCAGAUAACUCCAUUGAAUCUAAGUGGCAAUUUUGUUGCAUGCACAAGCCAGGAUGGUCAUAAUUCGGACAAAUCAAAGGAAAACACUGCUGAUUUAACUGUUUUUGUGCAAAAUCUUCUUCAACAAAUGGUGAGUUAUAAUUGGAUCCUCUUUUGUUAGAUUUUUUAUUUAUGUUGACGGAAUUUUGUUUGCAGCAUCUAAGUUUCAAACAAUGUCUGAUUCUAUUAUCACCGGGAAUAUCCUUUCAAAUAUUCCCUUAACGCACCUCUUGA